rnacentral:rRNA from 1 species
GAGUUUGAAAGAUGGCUUCGGCUAUCACUUUUGGAUGGUCCCGCGGCGUAUUAGCUAGAUGGUGGGGUAACGGCUCACCAUGACAAUGAUACGUAGCCGACCUGAGAGGGUAAUCGGCCACAUUGGGACUGAGACACGGCCCAAACUCCUACGGGAGGCAGCAGUAGGGAAUCUUCCACAAUGGACGAAAGUCUGAUGGAGCAACGCCGCGUGAGUGAAGAAGGGUUUCGGCUCGUAAAACUCUGUUGUUAAAGAAGAACAUAUCUGAGAGUAACUGUUCAGGUAUUGACGGUAUUUAACCAGAAAGCCACGGCUAACUACGUGCCAGCAGCCGCGGUAAUACGUAGGUGGCAAGCGUUGUCCGGAUUUAUUGGUCGUAAAGCGAGCGCAGGCGGUUUUUUAAGUCUGAUGUGAAAGCCUUCGGCUCAACCGAAGAAGUGCAUCGGAAACUGGGAAACUUGAGUGCAGAAGAGGACAGUGGAACUCCAUGUGUAGCGGUGAAAUGCGUAGAUAUAUGGAAGAACACCAGUGGCGAAGGCGGCUGUCUGGUCUGUAACUGACGCUGAGGCUCGAAAGUAUGGGUAGCAAACAGGAUUAGAUACCCUGGUAGUCCAUACCGUAAACGAUGAAUGCUAAGUGUUGGAGGGUUUCCGCCCUUCAGUGCUGCAGCUAACGCAUUAAGCAUUCCGCCUGGGGAGUACGGCCGCAAGGCUGAAACUCAAAGGAAUUGACGGGGGCCCGCACAAGCGGUGGAGCAUGUGGUUUAAUUCGAAGCUACGCGAAGAACCUUACCAGGUCUUGACAUACUAUGCAAAUCUAAGAGAUUAGACGUUCCCUUCGGGGACAUGGAUACAGGUGGUGCAUGGUCGUCGUCAGCUCGUGUCGUGAGAUGUUGGGUUAAGUCCCGCAACGAGCGCAACCCUUAUUAUCAGUUGCCAGCAUUAAGUUGGGCACUCUGGUGAGACUGCCGGUGACAAACCGGAGGAAGGUGGGGAUGACGUCAAAUCAUCAUGCCCCUUAUGACUGGGCUACACACGUGCUACAAUGGAUGGUACAACGAGUUGCGAACUCGCGAGAGUAAGCUAAUCUCUUAAAGCCAUUCUCAGUUCGGAUUGUAGGUUGCAACUCGCCUACAUGAAGUCGGAAUCGCUAGUAAUCGCGGAUCAGCAUGCCGCGGUGAAUACGUUCCCGGGCCUUGUACACACCGCCCGUCACACCAUGAGAGUUUGUAACACCCAAAGUCGGUGGGGU